rnacentral:tRNA from 1 species
GUGGGUAUAGCUCAGUGGUAGAGCACAUGCUUAGCAUGCAUUAGGUCCUGGGUUCAAUCCCCAGUACCUCCA